rnacentral:rRNA from 1 species
UACGUAGGGUGCAAGCGUUAAUCGGAAUUACUGGGCGUAAAGCGUGCGCAGGCGGUUUUGUAAGUCUGACGUGAAAUCCCCCGGGCUCAACCUGGGAAUUGCGUUGGAGACUGCAAGGCUGGAGUCUGGCAGAGGGGGGGUGGAAUUCCACGUGUAGCAGUGAAAUGCGUAGAGAUGUGGAGGAACACCGGUGGCGAAGGCGGCCCGCUGGGCAGGAAGGACGGGCGCAAGCCCGUCGGCUGACGACUGAGGCGCGACAGCGUGGGGAGCAAACAGG